CGUUGGCCUGAGCCAUCACCAGCUCGAUGUCCCUCUGCUCCAGACCCCCGUCAUCCACCUGAAAAGAGAGAAUAAAAGGCUCUCAAGAUUUCCUCUGGUGCAGUCGCCUUCUCCACCAUCUCGUCCAGCUGCGUGCGAGUCGGCACACUUGGGAACGCAUCAUCUUUUGCCAUCAGCCUGCCCUCACAGAACGACCUCGUGGAGACCAACGCACAGUACUGAGUCCUCUGAAGCUCAACCAUCUUGGCUGCUGACGGAGACGGGCGGGCAGCUCGAGUCUGAGAGGAGACCCGAGCAAUGAGGCGGGCAUACCUGCCCAAGAAACGAGUGGCCAUCAGGGUGAAGAGAUGGCGAUCUUGCCAUCGCGUCGCGCAGAGCCGCUGAGGACGUAGCGAUCUUCAGCAGAGCAGAGUGUCUGGAUGCUGUCAGAAUGGGCCUGCAGCUCCUUAACCACCAUGUGACUCUGUGGGUCCACCACCAGCACUUUACCUCCCAUCUGAGCACCACACUGACCCCCUACGCCGCUUCUUCCACGGCAGCCGACCCAGAUCUGAGGAGGAGGGUUAAGGAGGGUCACGAUGUAGUAAUUAUAUGAUUUUGCACCGUAGACCAAGCAAAUAUCUCACCUGGUCCUUGACGCGGAUCAUGCAGGUGACCCCUGAGCAGCCUGUCAGGGAGAUCUUCUUGAAAGAAGGCGUGCUGCUAUCAGUGUGCCACAAAUAGAGAUCACCUGAGUCAGCGGAGCCCGUCCAAAGCUGACCUCGCUGCAACACACACAAUAACUAGUAAGUCAAAUUGUGUUCAAUACCAUUAGAAACAAAGAUAACACCGCCCUCUGGUGGUUGCUGGCUAUCCCGUUGAUAAAUGUGAGUCACCUCUGGAAUGACAAGAAAGCUGCUGAAGUGUCUCGGUGGGCUUUGUAGGUGCUCAGGCGGCAACAACCUUCUUUGUGGCGUCCCACUUUUUCUCAGCUCCACAAUGCUGUCACCACAGCCUGCAAAAACAACACAUCCUGAUGAACACUCAUGCCACUAAGGAAGAGUUUACAUGCAAUGUGUGAACGGUGCACUUACAGCACCACAGCGCAUCGCCGUGAAUGUGUAUGAAGGAGAGACGCUCACAGCUGAGCUGAAACUGUCGAGUCACUUUUAGGCUGGACGAGUCCCACUGCAGAAUUGUUCCGUCACGGCUGCACGAGUAUGUCUGCAGACUGGAGAGGAAAGAAUAUGCUGUGGUGUACUUUUUAUAUGAGGAUCAGAAAAGUACUACAUUGUACAGUACUUGGCAAGUUUAAGUAUACAGUACUAUUUGUUACUUAUAGCUUUGGCAUACUUGUACUCAUUUGAUAAAGAUUUGCAUAAGUUUGAUGGCAAAGCUAAUUUUUUUAAAUCGAGUAAUCUCUCGUUUAUCGUCGGUAAUUGGUUCCAGACCCGUCCGUGAUAAGUGAAUUUCCGCAAAGUAGGAUUCCUCAUUAAUAAGUGGAAUAUUUGUGUAGUUAGAGCAAAGAAAACCUGUUUACAACCUUCUAAAUACUGUUUUCAACAUUAUUAGAGCCCUCUAGACACAAAAUAACACCCCGAUAGUAACAUUUACAAUCAUAUUACCCAAUAUAAAUAAAAUAAAUAAGACAUUUAUGACAUAAAGACUUGUGGUCAUGUGUGUUGCUACAAAUGUGUUCCCAAGGGGAGCUGAGUGGCGGGCGGACAGGAAGUGGUG